UCCACUAUGGUACAGUGGUUAAACGCCAGCCUCCGUGAAAAAAAAGAUCGGAGGCUGGGGCUGGAGGAUCGAAUCCUCCAGGUGGCA